AAAUGUAGUAGACUAUAAGUAUACAUGAAACUCGCAGAGUAUACUAAGUACACUACGUUUUC
rnacentral:pre_miRNA from 1 species